GAUGAACGCUGUCUACAGGCUUAACACAUGCAAGUCGAGGGGAAACGACGGGGAAGCUUGCUUCCCCGGGCGUCGACCGGCGCACGGGUGAGUAACGCGUAUCCAACCUGCCUCUGACUGAGGGAUAACCCGUCGCAAGUCGGCCUAAUACCUCAUGGCAUCGUCUGCGGGCAUCCAACGACGAUUAAAGAUUUCAUCGGUCAGGGAUGGGGAUGCGUCUGAUUAGCUUGUUGGCGGGGUAACGGCCCACCAAGGCUACGAUCAGUAGGGGUUCUGAGAGGAAGGUCCCCCACAUUGGAACUGAGACACGGUCCAAACUCCUACGGGAGGCAGCAGUGAGGAAUAUUGGUCAAUGGGCGGGAGCCUGAACCAGCCAAGUAGCGUGCAGGAUGACGGCCCUAUGGGUUGUAAACUGCUUUUAGGCGGGGAUAAAGUGAGGGACGUGUCCUUCAUUGCAGGUACCGCAUGAAUAAGGACCGGCUAAUUCCGUG
rnacentral:rRNA from 1 species